rnacentral:rRNA from 1 species
GACGAACGCUGGCGGCGUGCUUAACACAUGCAAGUCGAACGGAAAGGCCCUGCUUUUGUGGGGUGCUCGAGUGGCGAACGGGUGAGUAACACGUGAGUAACCUGCCCUUGACUUUGGGAUAACUUCAGGAAACUGGGGCUAAUACCGGAUAGGAGCUCCUGCUGCAUGGUGGGGGUUGGAAAGUUUCGGUGGUUGGGGAUGGACUCGCGGCUUAUCAGCUUGUUGGUGGGGUAGUGGCUUACCAAGGCUUUGACGGGUAGCCGGCCUGAGAGGGUGACCGGCAACAUUGGGACUGAGAUACGGCCCAGACUCCUACGGGAGGCAGCAGUGGGGAAUAUUGCACAAUGGGCGGAAGCCUGAUGCAGCAACGCCGCGUGCGGGAUGACGGCCUUCGGGUUGCAAACCGCUUUCGCCUGUGACGAAGCGUGAGUGACGGUAAUGGGUAAAGAAGCACCGGCUAACUACGUG